rnacentral:rRNA from 1 species
AGUGAACGCUGGCGGUAGGCCUAACACAUGCAAGUCGAACGGCAGCACAGUAAGAGCUUGCUCUUACGGGUGGCGAGUGGCGGACGGGUGAGGAAUACAUCGGAAUCUACUUUUUCGUGGGGGAUAACGUAGGGAAACUUACGCUAAUACCGCAUACGACCUACGGGUGAAAGCAGGGGAUCUUCGGACCUUGCGCGAUUGAAUGAGCCGAUGUCGGAUUAGCUAGUUGGCGGGGUAAAGGCCCACCAAGGCGACGAUCCGUAGCUGGUCUGAGAGGAUGAGAAGCCGGACUGGAACAAAGAAACGGUCCAGAGUCCUACGGGAGGCAGCAGAGGGGAAUGUUGGAGAAUGGGCGCAAGCCGUAGCCAGCCAUAGCGCGUGGGUGAAGGAGGCCUUGGGGUUGUAAAACCCAUUUAUUGGGAAAGAAAAGCAGCAGCUUAAUACCGCGCUGUGAUGAGGGUACCCAAAGAAUAAGCAACGGCUAACUUCGUG